UGCCUGUACCAUAACCGACACAGGUGGGUAAGUAGAGUAUACUAAGGGGCGCGAGAUAACUCUCUCUAAGGAACUCGGCAAAAUAACUCCGUAACUUCGGGAGAAGGAGUGCCUUAUUCUUAAGGUUGCAAUAACAAGAUCCAAGCAACUGUUUAUCAAAAACACAGGUCUCCGCUAAGUCGUAAGACGAUGUAUGGGGGCUGACGCCUGCCCAGUGCCAGAAGGUUAAAGAAGUCGGUUAGCAAUAGCAAAGCUGGUAACUGAAGCCCUGGUGAACGGCGGCCGUAACUAUAACGGUCCUAAGGUAGCGAAAUUCCUUGUCGGGUAAGUUCCGACCCGCACGAAUGGCGUAAUGAUUUGGAUGCUGUCUCGGAGAGGGGCUCGGUGAAAUAGACUUGUCUGUGAAGAUGCGGACUACCUGCACCAGGACAGAAAGACCCUAUGAAGCUUUACUGUAACUUGAAAUUGAAAUUGGACUUUAUUCGCGCAGUAUAGGUGGGAGGCGUUGAUUAUAAUCUUGUGGGAUUAUUGGAGCCAUCAGUGAGAUACCACUCUUGUAAUGUUAGAUUUCUAACUUUGAAUCAUUAUCUGGUCAAAGGACAGUUUCAGGCGGGCAGUUUGACUGGGGCGGUCGCCUCCUAAACGGUAACGGAGGCGUACAAAGGUUUCCUCUGAACGGUUAGAAAUCGUAUCUAGAGUGUAAAGGCAUAAGGAAGCUUGACUGUGAGACCUACAAGUCGAGCAGGGACGAAAGUCGGUCUUAGUGAUCUGACGGUACUGAGUGGAAAGGCCGUCACUCAACGGAUAAAAGUUACUCUAGGAUAACAGGCUGAUCUCCCCCAAGAGUUCACAUCGACGGGGAGGUUUGGCACCUCGAUGUCGGCUCAUCGCAUCCUGGGGCGGUAGUACGUCCCAAGGGUUGGGCUGUUCGCCCAUGAAAGCGGUACGCGAGCUGGGUUCAGAACGUCGUGAGACAGUUCGGUCCAUAUCCGGUGUAGGCGCUAGAAUAUUGAGAGGAGCCUUCUUUAGUACGAGAGGACCGAGAAGGACAUACCUCUGGUGUACCAGUUAUCGUGCCAACGGUAAACGCUGGGUAGCUAUGUAUGGAGUGGAUAACCGCUGAAAGCAUCUAAGUGGGAAGCCCACCUCAAGAUAAGUAUUCUCAUCACGUAAGUGAGUAAGGUCACGGUAAGACUAACCGUUUGAUAGGCAUUAAGUGUGAGUACAGUAAUGUAUGUGCUGAGAUGUCCUAAUAGACCGAGGAC
rnacentral:rRNA from 1 species